UUUUUUCACAGCUUUAUUGAGACGUGCUUAACAGACCGCCGUCCACCCGUUUAGUGUGCAGUUCCCUGGUUUUGGUGUGGCGACGGACUGCGCUGCCAUCGCCAGUCGUUUCAGGGAUCGUCUCAUCUCAAAAAGAAACCCUCCACCUGUUAGCUGUCACCCCCACCCAACACCCCAGCCCUCAGCAGCCACGAAGCUAAUUUCUGUCUCUACAGCUGUCCCUGCUCUGGUCCUUUGGUGCAAAUGGAUGCAGGGGUUGCGGGGCCUGGCGGGUCUGGGUCCUCAGGGAGCGCGUUUCUGGACGCGCCAGCCUUCCUUCCGCACAGACCUACCCUGUCUGCCUGCCGUGUCCCGGCCACCAGGUGCCUCAGAGGCAGCAGCAGGGGCACAGAGCCCUGAGGAGAAGACGUGGGGUGGAACCUGGGCGACGGUGACGGUCCGCGGGGCUGGGGUGGGGGUGGGGGUGGGGGGGCUUCCCGGAGGAGGAGGCCUUUUCCUGGAGAUGAGACCAGGGAGUCUGAGCCCGUGAGGGAGGGGGUCUGGGGGGAUCCGAGCGGCUGGAGGAGCUGAGGGUCUUUGAGGAGAAGGAUGGAGGGGGUGUGGGGGCCGCGCGGUGGCGGGCAGCGGAUCUCUGGAAGGUGCCCGUUACAGGUGAAUGACUGAGGGACGAUUCCGGGAAGGCCGCGCACAGGGGCCCCUGCCUGGCAGUAGGAGCUCUCGGGCCUCCGAGACGGCAGUGCCUGUUACUUCUGACACAACCGGCCGCAGAGGCAGGAGAGAGUCGGGGUGAGCUCACCCGGGGCUGCAGGCCCGCGCCCCCCCACCCCUGCUGGCUGUGCCACCUUGCGUUGCGCAGGGUGUGGGGACACGGGUCUGGAGAAUGGGGCUAGGAACGGUUGCUUACCGAGAUUCUGGUCCAGGGUGGUGACGAUGGACAGCUCUGAGCUCACCUCCUCCCACGGGCACCCCAAAGUUCCAACUAGCAGCAGAUCAACCAUGGAUGAGAAAGACUGGAAUCCAGCAGAGGAGGUCGGCACUAAAGAGAAGGAGAGGCAGAGCCACGGAACAGGCAAGACCCAUCCCCAGCCCGGAGGGGGCGACUCACAAAUGGGAGAAUGAUUACAGUUGCAGAGGUUCCCCCCAAGGAGCGAGGUGUCUGGGCCCCACACCAGGCUCUGCAGCCCGGGGUCCCGCAACGGGAAGAUGAGCCCCCAGCAGAUCGAUCUCUGAAGGCCAGAGGUGCUUAUGUUCGGGGGACCCAGAGGGCUGUGGGAAAUAGGAGCGCCGCCCUUAAAAGGUGCACACACUCUGAGGCCCAGGGUAGAAGCCACAGUUUGAAAGGAGCCCGGGUCAGAUCCACCUGCUAAUCCUGGAGAGUCUCCCGGGGAGGCAGGAGGCAACUGGAGCUCCCCCUGGGGACACGCACAAUGGCAGCAGCUGUUUUGGCCGCUCUUUCUACCACGUGGACCCUGGUGCUGGCGAGCGCCAUUUAGGACUCCUCCCUUGCGCUCAUGAGGCCAGGACCUGCCCCCACCCGCCAGCCUGCCGGCGCCAGUCCUGGGACACCUCAGGCCAAGCAACUAGCUGGGCGGGGACGCGGCUCCACCCAUCAGUGGACAGGCUGCCUUAAGGCCCCCUGAGCCUACAGCUAUCCCUGGACAUGGCCCUGUCCAUCAGAAGGCCCAGGACUUGGCCCCACACACCAGUGGACAGGCACUAGACUUAGGACUUCUAGGGCCCUGCAGCCAGAGAUUCCUGGGACCCAGGUCCACCCACCAGAAUCCCUUGGGCCCUGGGCCUUCCCAUAAGUGUGUCGGAUCUAGUCUCGGGACCAGCUUCAUAGAUAAGUGGGCAAGCAUUAGCUCAGGAAACCCUGAGUCCUGGUGUGCCUACCGGGAGGAGGACCCCAGCCUGAAGACAAACAACCCACAACCUUCCAUAGAAGGAUGCAGCCUACCUACUGGCAGGCCAGCACCCCCACCAGCAGGUCAAUACCAGCUCUGAGACACCUUGGCCGCUCAGCCAGUUGCCCUGGGAUUCAGACCCACUCAGCAGUAGACUGAUACAAGCUCUGGGACCCCUGGGUCCUGCAGCCAGAGAUCCCGGGACCUAGCUUUGCCUACCAGGAGCUUGGCACUAUCCUUUGGAUCUCCUGGACACCAAACCUACCUGCUAACAGGUGGUCACCAGCUCCGGGACCACUGCAGCCCUGAAGCCUGCCUUGUCAGGACCCAGUCAACACACCAGCAGCCUUGGACCCUCCAGGCCUGGGCCCCACCCACCUGCAUGCCAACACCACUUCUGAGACACCAAGGACUCCUCAGCAAGCCACGCUGGGAACCAGCCCCACUCACCAGUGGGCCUGUACCAGCUUUGAGACUCCCCAGAACUUGCAGCCAGUCAUGUCUGGAACUGGCCCUACCCAUCAGGAGAGUGACAAUAGAUCCAGGAACCCUGGCCCUACAACUACCCACCUCAGAACCUGGCUCUGCCCACCAGUGAGCAGCACUAGCUCCAGGAGCCCUAGGGUUCUGCAGCCAGCUGCUUUGUGACCUAGACACCAACCAGUGGCUGGCAGCCUCCACACAAGGCAGAGGUUGGAUACCAACUGGAUCUGGGGCCAGCCAGACCUACAAGACCACUCCAAGUAGUCAGCCCACCAUAACAGAAGAACCCAUGCAGCCCACGUAGGGGACAUCCCUGGAACAUGCAGCCCUGGUGACCAGAGGGGAAUGCAGUGCUGGGACGUCAUAGGACAUUUUCUGCAAAAGGCUAUUUCUCCAAGGUUGGGACAUGUAACCAAGCUAUCAGAUAUACAGAAAUAGGAGUUCUUGUCGUGGCGCAGUGGUUAACGAAUCCGACUAGGAACGAUGAUCCCUGGCCUUGCUCAGUGGGUUCUUAACCUGCUGAGCCACAAAGGACGCUUCCAAAAAUUCUUGACUGCUAAUUUUAUCAUCUGGCUCAUUCCUCGAUUAGUUUUGAUUUUUCUCCUUCCUGUUUCUUUUAUUUCUCUUUUUGCAUCUUUGGUAAUUUUUGAAUGGAUGCUGGAAAGUGUGAAAUUUACCUUGCUGAGCACUGGGCUAUUUCGUGUUCUUGUAAGUUUCUUGAUCUUGGUGCUGGGAUCUUACUUGGAAACCAUCUUGUUCAUUCGUCUUGCUUCUAAGCUUUGUUAGAUGAGACCAGAGUGGCAUUUUGUUAGGAGUGAUUUCCCCUACGACUAAAGCAAAACCCUUCUGAGCACUCUAUCUAAUGUUAAGUGAAUAAUGAGGUCUUCCGCUUUGGUUGACACAAAUCAGCAGUAGUUUCUGCCCUAGAGUUCUCAAGAUUUUGCUUCUAAUCCUUUCAUGCUGCUUUUCCUCCAGGCAUGGGUCUUUCUCACCUGCGUGUGCAGAUGAGCACUGAGUACUUGAGAGCAUCCCUGUCCCUCGCAGAGGCCAGAGCUCUCUGUGCAGCCCUGUCCUCUCAGAUACUUUGCCUUAUGAAGUCAGGAAGACCACUCAACUCUCCCUGGCUGCUCCUUUCCCAGGCUGUGACCUGGCAGUGUUCUCUGGGCAGGAAACUGGGG
rnacentral:lncRNA from 1 species